UACGGAGGGUGCGAGCGUUAAUCGGAAUUACUGGGCGUAAAGCGCGCGUAGGCGGUUUAAUCAGUCUGAUGUGAAAGCCCCGGGCUUAACCUGGGAACGGCAUUGGAUACUGUUGAACUGGAGUGUGGGAGAGGGUAGUGGAAUUUCCGGUGUAGCAGUGAAAUGCGUAGAGAUCGGAAGGAACACCAGUGGCGAAGGCGGCUACCUGGACCAACACUGACGCUGAGGUGCGAAAGCGUGGGGAG
rnacentral:rRNA from 1 species